rnacentral:rRNA from 1 species
CCUACGGGCGGCUGCAGUGGGGAAUAUUGCACAAUGGAGGAAACUCUGAUGCAGCGACGCCGCGUGAGUGAAGAAGGUCUUCGGAUCGUAAAACUCUGUCCUUGGUGAAGAUAAUGACGGUAGCCAAGGAGGAAGCCCCGGCUAACUACGUGCCAGCAGCCGCGGUAAUACGUAGGGGGCGAGCGUUGUCCGGAUUUACUGGGCGUAAAGGGUGAGUAGGCGGUUAUAUAUGUCAGGUGUAAAAGAUCAUGGCUUAACCAUGGUUAGCACUUGAAACUGUAUGACUUGAGUGCAGGAGAGGUAAGCGGAAUUCCUAGUGUAGCGGUGAAAUGCGUAGAUAUUAGGAGGAACACCAGUGGCGAAGGCGGCUUACUGGACUGCAACUGACGCUGAGUCACGAAAGCGUGGGUAGCAAACAGGAUUAGAUACCCUAGUAGUC